CCAGCUCGGGUAUAUUUACCGUUGCGAAGGACAAACUUGAUAUAAAAGUAACAAACGAUCCCUAUAAAAUUCAAAAUCUUUCGUUUUGGUUGAGAAAUUGAAGAUAGUUGUUAUAAAAUUGAUAGAACCUAAAAUGGAUGAGAAAAUAGGCCAAUCCAUCAGAUUUUUUUUUUUUUUUAUAUAAAUUCUAUCGGCUGAUCCGGUCAGUCCCGGUAGAAACACAUCGGAGUGGACAACUCUCUGAAGGGCCACCACACUGUCUAUUCCGAGUUUGGAAUGCUUUCCGACUAAUGUCAGAAAGUAGUCAGACCGCCUGCAUUUCUGACUAACAGGUAAACCAACU
rnacentral:lncRNA from 1 species